rnacentral:rRNA from 1 species
AGUGGCAGACGGGUGAGUAACGCGUGGGAACCUGCCCAGUAGUAGAGAAUAACUUGGGGAAACUUAAGCUAAUACUUUAUACGUCCUUCGGGAGAAAGCUUUAUGCGCUAUUGGAUGGGCCCGCGUUAGAUUAGUUUGUUGGUGAGGUAACGGCUCACCAAGGCGACGAUCUAUAGCUGGUCUGAGAGGAUGAUCAGCCACACUGGGACUGAGACACGGCCCAGACUCCUACGGGAGGCAGCAGUGGGGAAUAUUGGACAAUGGGGGCAACCCUGAUCCAGCGAUGCCGCGUGAGUGAUGAAGGCCCUAGGGUUGUAAAACUCUUUCGUCAGGGAAGAUAAUGACGGUACCUGAAGAAGAAGAUCCGGCUAACUCCGUGCCAGCAGCCGCGGUAAUACGGAGGGGUCUAGCGUUAUUCGGAAUUACUGGGCGUAAAGCGAGCGUAGGCGGAUUUGUAAGUUGGAGGUGAAAUCCCAGAGCUUAACUCUGGAACUGCCUUCAAAACUACAUUUCUUGAGUUUGGUAGAGGAGAGUGGAAUUCCUAGUGUAGAGGUGAAAUUCGUAGAUAUUAGGAGGAACACCAGUGGCGAAGGCGACUCUCUGGGCCAAUACUGACGCUGAGGUUCGAAAGCAUGGGUAGCGAACAGGAU